rnacentral:rRNA from 1 species
GAUGAACGCUAGCGGCAGGCCUAAUACAUGCAAGUCGAACGGUGUCUUCGGACAUAGUGGCGCACGGGUGCGUAACACGUAUGCAACCUACCUUACAUUGGGGGAUAGCCUUUCGAAAGGGAGAUUAAUACCGCAUAAGACAGUAGCUGGGCAUCCAGCAGCUGUUAAAGAUUUAUCGAUGUAAGCUGGGCAUGCGUCCAAUUAGCUAGUUGGUGAGGCAACGGCUCACCAAGGCAAUGAUUGGUAGGGGAACUGAGAGGUCAAUCCCCCACACUGGCACUGAGAUACGGGACAGACUCCUACGGGAGGCAGCAGUAGGGAAUAUUGGGCAAUGGACGCAAGUCUGACCCAGCCAUGCCGCGUGCAGGAUGAAGGCGUUAUGCGUUGUAAACUGCUUUUAUACAGGAAGAAACGACUCUUGCGAGAGGCAUUGACGGUACUGUAUGAAUAAGCACCGGCUAACUCCGUGCCAGCAGCCGCAGUAAAAC